rnacentral:rRNA from 1 species
GACGAACGCUGGCGGCGUGCUUAACACAUGCCAGUCGAACGGAAAGGCCCUGCUUGCAGGGUACUCGAGUGGCGAACGGGUGAGUAACACGUGGGUGAUCUGCCCUGCACUUCGGGAUAAGCCUGGGAAACUGGGUCUAAUACCGGAUAGGAGCCAUUUUUAGUGUGAUGGUUGGAAAGUUUUUUCGGUGUAGGAUGAGCUCGCGGCCUAUCAGCUUGUUGGUGGGGUAAUGGCCUACCAAGGCGGCGACGGGUAGCCGGCCUGAGAGGGUGGACGGCCACAUUGGGACUGAGAUACGGCCCAGACUCCUACGGGAGGCAGCAGUGGGGAAUAUUGCACAAUGGGCGCAAGCCUGAUGCAGCGACGCCGCGGGGGGGAUGACGGCCUUCGGGUUGGAAACUCCUUUCGCUAGGGACGAAGCUUUUUGUGACGGUACCUAGAUAAGAAGCACCGGCUAACUACGUG